GAUGAAGAACGUAGCAAAAUGCGAUAAGUAAUGUGAAUUGCAGAAUUCAGUGAAUCAUCGAAUCUUUGAACGCACAUUGCGCCCGCCAGUAUUCUGGCGGGCAUGCCUGUUCGAGCGUCAUUUCAACCCUCAAGCUCAGCUUGGUGUUGGGACUCGCGGUAACCCGCGUUCCCCAAAUCGAUUGGCGGUCACGUCGAGCUUCCAUAGCGUAGUAAUCAUACACCUCGUUACUGGUAAUCGUCGCGGCCACGCCGUAAAACCCCAACUUCUGAAUGUUGACCUCGGAUCAGGUAGGAAUACCCGCUGAACUUAAGCAUAUCAAUAAGCGGAGGA
rnacentral:misc_RNA from 1 species